GGGCGCUUCUUAGUUUGAGAAAUUUCUUCACCAGACUCGCCGCUGGUUGAUAAAUUAUUGUAAGCUCCAUUCGCUGAUUUGCAGCCUGAACGUGACCAGUGAGCCAACCAAACUGAAUGGUAGGGUCGCGUUGACAUUCCAUUCCCUUCUUGAUAUGACUUUGUGAUAUGAUCAGACAUUGUAACAAGAUAGUCCUUCAAUGCUGGCACCG
rnacentral:misc_RNA from 1 species